UUUAUGUACGUCUGGUCGAUCGGUAAUAUGCAAAUUGUCGUAAUUGUUAUGCGACGCAAUAAAUACGCCAGUCUGUUGCUCGUGUAACCCACAAGUCAUCUUGAUCAGCGCAAGGAACACAUGUGAAAGAGACCAAACUACAGGCGAAAGUGUCGAUAGCUUUAUUUGGACGCUGUAACAGAUCAAAAGGGAGAUUAAUGGAGAAGGUGAUUCGAUUUGUAAAGAGCAGCUAUUUCAGCCUGCCCGGUGUCGCAUGGAUUUUGCUCAUUUCGUUUGCUGUAUACGUGUUGGUGGGUACCGCCUGUUUCCCAAAGUACCUCCUAAUCGAGUAUUUCGGCCCGUUGGGCCACCUCAGUAAGUUUCUUCAGGAGAAAGACCUCAGCACCAGCG